rnacentral:rRNA from 1 species
CCUACGGGUGGCAGCAGUGGGGAAUAUUGCGCAAUGGGCGAAAGCCUGACGCAGCGACGCCGCGUGAGGGAUGAAGGUCUUCGGAUCGUAAACCUCCGUCAGCAGGGAAGAACGGUCACUGUGCUAAUCAGCAGUGAAUUGACGGUACCUGCAAAGGAAGCACCGGCUAACUCCGUGCCAGCAGCCGCGGUAAUACGGAGGGUGCGAGCGUUAAUCGGAAUUACUGGGCGUAAAGCGCGCGUAGGCGGUAUGUCAAGUCAAGGGGGAAAUCCCCGCGCUCAACGUGGGAACUGCCUUUGAAACUGGCAAACUGGAGUGUGUGAGAGGAUAGUGGAAUUCCAGGUGUAGGAGUGAAAUCCGUAGAUAUCUGGAGGAACAUCAGUGGCGAAGGCGACUAUCUGGCACAUAACUGACGCUGAGGAGCGAAAGCGUGGGUAGCAAACAGGAUUAGAUACCCGGGUAGUC